rnacentral:rRNA from 1 species
AUUGAACGCUGGCGGCAUGCCUUACACAUGCAAGUCGAACGGCAGCACGGACUUCGGUCUGGUGGCGAGUGGCGAACGGGUGAGUAAUGUAUCGGAACGUACCUUUCAGUGGGGGAUAACGUAGCGAAAGUUACGCUAAUACCGCAUAUUCUGUGAGCAGGAAAGCAGGGGAUCGAAAGACCUUGCGCUGAUUGAGCGGCCGAUAUCAGAUUAGCUAGUUGGUGGGGUAAAGGCCUACCAAGGCGACGAUCGGUAGCGGGUCUGAGAGGAUGAUACGCCACACUGGAACUGAGACACGGUCCAGACUCCUACGGGAGGCAGCAGUGGGGAAUUUUGGACAAUGGGGGCAACCCUGAUCCAGCCAUGCCGCGUGAGUGAAGAAGGCCUUCGGGUUGUAAAGCUCUUUCGGCCGGGAAGAAAUCGCAUAGGCUAAUACCCUGUGUGGAUGACGGUACCGGAAGAAGAAGCACCGGCUAACUACGUG